rnacentral:RNase_P_RNA from 1 species
GCGAUGAACCGCGCUGCCGCGGGGGCGUAGACAGCAUCUGCGCCUCUGAGGAAAGUCCGGGCUCCGCAGGGCACGAUGCCGGGUAACGCCCGGGAGCGUCCGCAAGGGCGCGACAGAAAGCGCAACAGAAAACAUACCGCCUGAGGAUGCGCCGACGCGCACUGGGGCAAGGGUGAAAAGGCGGGGUAAGAGCCCACCGCGGAACCGGCAACGGUUCCGGCACGGCAAGCCUCAUCGGGAGCAAAAUCAAACAGCGGCGGGACUGCCCGUCCAAACGCCGCGGGUAGAUUGCGAAGAUUCCAUCCGCAAGGGUGGAAGCAGACAGAUGGCAGCGCGCGGACGACCGCUUGACGGCCGUUUGCGCAACAGAACCCGGCUUACGCGGUUCAUCGCUUUU